rnacentral:pre_miRNA from 1 species
CUAGUACUCCCUCCGAUCCAUAUUAGUUGUCUCAAAUUUGCCUAAAUAUGGAUGUAUCUAUGCCUAAAAAGUGCCUAGAUACAUGUAAUAUUUUGACAAUUAAUAUGGAUCGGAGGGAGUAUCCC